rnacentral:misc_RNA from 1 species
GAUGAAGAACGUAGUGAAAUGCGAUAAGUAGUGUGAAUUGCAGAAUUCAGUGAAUCAUCGAAUCUUUGAACGCACAUUGCGCCCGCCAGUAUUCUGGCGGGCAUGCCUGUCCGAGCGUCAUUUCAACCCUCAAGCCCCAGCCGGCUUGGUGUUGGGGACCGGCCCCGGCCGCCCCCCAAAUGCAGUGGCGACCUCGCCGCAGCCUCCCCUGCGUAGUAGCACAACCUCGCACCGGAGCGCGGAGACGGUCACGCCGUAAAACGCCCAACUUCUCAGAGUUGACCUCGGAUCAGGUAGGAAUACCCGCUGAACUUAAGCAUAUCAAUAAGCGGAGGA